rnacentral:tRNA from 1 species
GGGGAUAUUAGCUCAGUUGGUAGAGUGCUUGCCUAGCAUGCACAAGGCCCUAGAUUCAAUCCCUGGCCCCA